CGACAAGCGGUGGAGCAUGUGGUUUAAUUCGAUGAUACGCGAGGAACCGUUACCUGGGCGUCGAACGUAAGAUGACUGUAGGUGAAAGCUUACAUCUCUUCGGAGCAUUUUACGAGGUGCUGCAUGGUUGUCGUCAGCUCGUGCCGUGAGGUGUCGGGUUAAGUCCCAUAACGAGCGCAACCCUACCUUUAGUUGCCAUCAGGUAAUGCUGGGGACUCUAAAGGAACUGCCUACGCAAGUAGUGAGAAGGCGGGGAUGACGUCAAAUCAGCACGGCCCUUACGUCCAGGGCUACACACGUGCUACAAUGGCCGAUACAGAGGGCAGCUACCUGGUGACAGGAUGCAAAUCUCCAAAGUCGGUCUCAGUUCGGAUCGGAGUCUGCAACCCGACUCCGUGAAGUUGGAUUCGCUAGUAAUCGCGCAUCAGCCAUGGCGCGGUGAAUACGUUCCCGGGCCUU
rnacentral:rRNA from 1 species